rnacentral:rRNA from 1 species
AUACGUAGGGUGCAAGCGUUGUCCGGAAUUAUUGGGCGUAAAGAGCUCGUAGGCGGUCUGUCGCGUCGGCUGUGAAAACCCGGAGCUCAACUCCGGGCCUGCAGUCGAUACGGGCAGACUGGAGUUCGGCAGGGGAGACUGGAAUUCCUGGUGUAGCGGUGAAAUGCGCAGAUAUCAGGAGGAACACCGGUGGCGAAAGGCGG